rnacentral:rRNA from 1 species
AGUCGAGAAUCUUCGGCAAUGAGCGCAAGCUUGACCGAGCGACGCCGCGUGCGGGAUGAAGGCCUUCGGGUUGUAAACCGCUUUGGUCCGAAAGAAAGGGCAACUUGAUCGAUCGGAGAAACAAGGACGGGCUAAGUUCGUGCCAGCAGCCGCGGUAAGACGAACCGUCCAAACGUUAUUCGGAAUCACUGGGCUUAAAGGGCGCGUAGGCGGCCGAGCGGGUCGUGGGUGAAAUCCCCCAGCUUAACUGGGGAACUGCUUACGAUACCACUGCGGCUCGAGGAAGGAAGGGGCAAUGGGAACUGUCGGUGGAGCGGUGAAAUGCGUUGAUAUCGACAGGAACGCCUGUGGCGAAAGCGCAUUGCUGGUCCUUUUCUGACGCUGAGGCGCGAAAGCCAGGGGAGCAAA